rnacentral:rRNA from 1 species
AUUGAACGCUAGCGGGAUGCUUUACACAUGCAAGUCGAACGGCAGCGCGGACUUCGGUCUGGCGGCGAGUGGCGAACGGGUGAGUAAUGUAUCGGAACGUGCCCAGUAGCGGGGGAUAACUACGCGAAAGCGUAGCUAAUACCGCAUACGCCCUACGGGGGAAAGCAGGGGAUCGUAAGACCUUGCACUAUUGGAGCGGCCGAUAUCGGAUUAGCUAGUUGGUGAGGUAACGGCUCACCAAGGCGACGAUCCGUAGUUGGUUUGAGAGGACGACCAGCCACACUGGGACUGAGACACGGCCCAGACUCCUACGGGAGGCAGCAGUGGGGAAUUUUGGACAAUGGGGGCAACCCUGAUCCAGCCAUCCCGCGUGUGCGAUGAAGGCCUUCGGGUUGUAAAGCACUUUUGGCAGGAAAGAAACGUCGCGGGCUAAUACCCCGUGGAACUGACGGUACCUGCAGAAUAAGCACCGGCUAACUACGUG